GGCCCGGCGCCAAUGUGCCGCCGCUCCCAUCGGCAGAUAGCAUCAACGGCACGCGGGCCUGCUUUAUAAACAGGGGAAGGGGCCGGCGGGAUGAGAGAAGGGAAGAGAGCGAGGGAGAGAGUCGGAGAGAAUGGUGUUUGGGUUUUAGGGUUUCGGGCAUGGAUCGAUUGCGACGACGAGACCUAUGCCCUCGAACGAGAGGAUUUCUUCUUAAACUGCGGUUUGGAUGGGAUGCUGGGAACGAUCACUGCGUUCUACGUAAUCAUGGUUCACCAUACAAAGAUAGAAGAAAGCUUCCAUGUUACGGCGCGUCUUGAUUUCGGCAAUACAUGAUAUGCUUUACCACCACCAUCACAUUGAGAAUUACGACCAGUUGGAUUUUCCUGGUGUCGUUCCUCGCACUUUUGCGGGUAAAUUUUCUAUGCUUCUAGAAAUGCAGUAUUGCAUUUAUGGAGUAUAAUGUAGUUUGAGCAUGUUUAAAAACAGUUCUUUAAUGGAGUUUUCUUUUAUUUUUCUUACAAUGUUUGGGGCACAAACCUUUAUUUGUUUGUGCGGUGCUUUUGUAUGUUAACAUUAGUGGUAGUUCUUUAAUGUGGUUAUAUUAUGAUGAUAUUACAAUGUGGAAUUGCAAAAGGAUUUUGAUGUGAAUAUUUGGCGGGCUAAGUUUAUUGUUUAG